AGAGUUUGAUUAUGGCUCAGAACGAACGCUGGCGGCGUGCCUAACACAUGCAAGUCGAACGAGAAAGGGGCUUCGGCUCCGAGUAAAGUGGCGCACGGGUGAGUAACACGUGGGUAACCUGCCUCUAAGAUUGGGACAACUCGUCGAAAGAUGAGCUAAUACCGAAUAAGACCACAGUUCCUGCGGGAACAGCGGUCAAAGGUAGCCUCUGCUUGCAAGCUAUCACUUAGAGAUGGGCCUGCGCACCAUUAGCUAGUUGGUAGGGUAACGGCCUACCAAGGCAAAGAUGGUUAGCUGGUCUGAGAGGAUGAUCAGCCACACUGGAACUGAGACACGGUCCAGACUCCUACGGGAGGCAGCAGUGGGGAAUAUUGCGCAAUGGGCGAAAGCUUGACGCAGCAACGCCGCGUGAGUGAUGAAGGCCUUCGGGUCGUAAAGCUCUGUCGGGAGGAACGAAUGCUUCUGAGGUUAACAGCCUCGGGAGGUGACGGUACCUUCAAAGGAAGCACCGGCUAACUCUGUGCCAGCCGCCGCGGUAA
rnacentral:rRNA from 1 species